rnacentral:rRNA from 1 species
GACGAACGCUGGCGGCGCGCCUAACACAUGCAAGUCGAACGAGCGAGAGAGAGCUUGCUUUCUCGAGCGAGUGGCGAACGGGUGAGUAACGCGUGAGGAACCUGCCUCAAAGAGGGGGACAACAGUUGGAAACGACUGCUAAUACCGCAUAAGCCCACAGGUCGGCAUCGACCAGAGGGAAAAGGAGCAAUCCGCUUUGAGAUGGCCUCGCGUCCGAUUAGCUAGUUGGUGAGGUAAUGGCCCACCAAGGCGACGAUCGGUAGCCGGACUGAGAGGUUGAACGGCCACAUUGGGACUGAGACACGGCCCAGACUCCUACGGGAGGCAGCAGUGGGGAAUAUUGCACAAUGGGGGAAACCCUGAUGCAGCGACGCCGCGUGGAGGAAGAAGGUCUUCGGAUUGUAAACUCCUGUUGU